rnacentral:tRNA from 1 species
GCGAAGGUGGCGAAAUUGGUAGACGCGCUACUUUGAGGUGGUAGUGCCUGAAAGGGCUUGGGAGUUCGAAUCUCCUCCUUCGCACAA